rnacentral:rRNA from 1 species
UACGUAGGGUGCAAGCGUUGUCCGGAAUUAUUGGGCGUAAAGAGCUCGUAGGCGGUCUGUCGCGUCGGCUGUGAAAACCCGGAGCUCAACUCCGGGCCUGCAGUCGAUACGGGCAGACUGGAGUUCGGCAGGGGAGACUGGAAUUCCUGGUGUAGCGGUGAAAUGCGCAGAUAUCAGGAGGAACACCGGUGGCGAAGGCGGGUCUCUGGGCCGAUACUGACGCUGAGGAGCGAAAGCAUGGGGAGCGAACAGG